GCAAGGAAUUUGAUGCAAAAGUUCGAGAUGAAGAAGCCCGAAGGCAAGCGGCUGCUGGAGGUAAGGGUCAUAGAUAUGACCCAGAAAGGAGAGGAACGAGAGAAUCGCGUGCAGUUCCUGCACCCGAAGCCAAUGCUGAGCUAGUUUCCUCUAUGCAGAAAAGACAAGGUCAAUCCAAUCCAAAAAGCAGAAGUGAGAUGUUCAACUCUCAUCCAGAAGAAGUUGCCUCUGGUUUUCCAAUUGACCCUCCUAGACCAUCUCAAGUCGUCGAAGAAGCAAGUAAUGAUCCCCACGUGCAGCUUCAUAAGCGAGGUUCCCAUUCCGGGCCAUUGUCUCACCGAGCUGCUUGGGCAAAAGCUGGAAAGAAUAUGGAUGAUGCCCCAAAGCUUUCUGUAGCGGACAUGUCAGCUAUGUCUGGGCUAGUCGCUGCAAGGAGAAGCAUGUUCUCUGAAGACCGUCCAGAUAAGUCAGGUUCACACAAACAGGAGGUUCCUAAACUCAUAGCCAGGUUUCCCGGAUCCUAUAAAGAGGCUUCACAUUCCACAAUGAAACAAGAACAGAAAAAUCAUGCACUUGCUAGCUCACAUCAUCAAAACGAGGACGGUAGAACCAGCAACAACGAUCCCGUUCUUUUGGGAUAUGGAUCAAAAGGCAACAAAAUCCACUACUCUGGACCACUACUAGUUCCAUCAGGCAAAAUGGAUCAAGUGUUGAAAGAUCACGAUCGCCACAUCCAAGAAGCUGUAAGACGAGCACGCUUGGACAAGGCGAAAGCAAAGAAAAUUCAGGUUGAAGGCAACAAAUUAUCAGCCAAUUCAUUAUUUGUUUCUGGCCGUUGAGCUUCAACUGAGAGCGAAUCGGCUAAGAACAACUA
rnacentral:misc_RNA from 1 species